GAUGAAGAACGUAGUGAAAUGCGAUAAGUAAUGUGAAUUGCAGAAUUCCGUGAAUCAUCGAAUCUUUGAACGCAUAUUGCGCCCUCUGGCAUUCCGGGGGGCAUGCCUGUCCGAGCGUCAUUGCUGCCCUCAAGCACGGCUUGUGUGUUGGGCCUCCGUCCUCCUCCCGGGGGACGGGCCCGAAAGGCAGCGGCGGCACCGCGUCCGGUCCUCGAGCGUAUGGGGCUUCGUCACCCGCUCUUGUAGGCCCGGCCGGCGCUUGCCGACACAUCAAUCUUUUUUCCAGGUUGACCUCGGAUCAGGUAGGGAUACCCGCUGAACUUAAGCAUAUCAAUAAGCGGAGGA
rnacentral:misc_RNA from 1 species